GGCGAGGCGGCGCACUCAGAUGCCGCUUCCGGUUUCAGCUUGGCCCCGAGGCGGGGGAGCCUGGUGCACGACAGGAGCUCAGGACAAGCUGGACCUGCUCUGUGGCCUGCGGUGAGCCUCGAAGUUAUCCUAGCUGUCCAGUUCAGGUGCUGCUGGACCAGCAUGCACAGACACAAGUCAUGCCUCCUCUGGUGCCCAUGAAGCCCUGGCUGGGCAACCAUCCUCCGCCCCCAGAACAAUGUCUCUUGAAAGGAUGAAAGGACUCCUGGGCUCCCAAGUGUAAAGGAAGCAGCAUGCCUGUGAUGUCCCUCGCUGGAUGACCGUGGUUGCGUCCUGACCCCUUCUGGGUCUCAGUGGCCUCAGCUUCAAAGCCAGGUGUUUCUCUAGCUCUGACUGUUGAUUUUCUCCCCAGCCCGUUCCCGAACCCACCCUCCCAGUCCCUGUUCCCACUUCCCUUAGUGAUCCUCUCCCUCUAAUACUCCCCACACCACCUCCACCAAGAAGGCUCCCUGACCUUCCCAGGCACCAUGAGUUUCUACCCUCUCUGCACAAACAACUACGGGUGAAUAUUUUUAUAGUGAUGGCAGGAUUAGUGUUUUCACCUCUCCCCGCUCCAGGGGGAACCCCUGGAAGGGUGGGUUAAACUUUGUGUGAUUCA